GCUGCAUGAUUUAUGAAAGCUUCUCAGAAGCUCUCUGAGUAAUCUUUUUAUUUGCUUCCUAUUUUACCCUAAAUUUUUUUCUUUUCUUUUCGCAUCUAGGACUCCUGGAGUAUUUUUACAAUGUUUCCGUAGUUUAAAUGGAACUGAGGCCAAAAAAAAAAAAAAUAAAAUAAAAAAUUUCAGGGAAAGAAGACAAAGUUUUGCCAGAUGGGAUCCUUCCAGAAACAAAUGGGCUGCUACAAAGAAGACCAACUCCUCCUCCCGAGUGUCGUGGAGGUAAGGGAUGGACGUCUGGGAGAACAGAUAUGACAGGAAAACCUUGUUCUAGACACUCAGUGAUGAAGGCUGAUGUCCACUCUGUCCAGUGCAAAUUAAUCAACCCUAUCCCCCCAAACCAGUCCAUCCUAAAGGAGGUCAGUCCUGAAUAUUCUUUGGAAGGACUGAUGUUGAAGCUGAAACUCCAAUCCUCUGGCCAUCUCAUGUGAAGAGCGGACUCAUUGGAAAAGACCCUGAUGCUGGGAGAAACUGAAGGUGUGAGAAGCGGACGACAGAGGAUGAGAUGGUUGGAUGGCAUCACCGACUCAAUGGACAUGAGUUUGAGUAAACUCCAGGAGUUGGUGAUGGACUGAGAGGUCUGGCGUGCUGCAGUCCACGGGGUCGCAAAGAGUCAGACACGACUGAGCGACUUAACUGAACUGAUCCCCCCAAAAGAAAGACGUUUACAGCUACAGAGAGUGCAUCGUGUUUAAGAAAGACUCCACUGGGCUUCCGUGGUGGUCCAGUGGUUAAGAAUUCACCUGGUCAUGCCAGGGGACAUUGGUUCGAUCCCUUGGAAGAUUUCAAGGACAAACUACUGAUCCCAAGCGCUGCAAGCAGAGAGCAGGCUGAGCAGUGAGGACCCAGCGUGGUCAAUAAGAAAUACAAAUAAUUCCCCAAUCUGGCUCAUUUCUGUCUCAAGAACAUAACAAAAACAUCUUACAGGUGGAGGAUUUCUUCAAGUGAGGAAAAGGGUGAAGUCACUCAGUCGUGUCAAACCCUUUGCGACACCACCGACUGCAGCCCGCCAGGCUCCUCUCUGUCCCUGGGAUUCUCCAGGCAAGAAUACUGGAGUGGGUUGCCAUGCCUUCCUCCAGGGGAAUCUUCCCAACCAGGGAUCGAACGCAGAUCUCCCCCAUUGCAGGCAGAUUCUUUACCGACUGAGCCACCAGGGAAGCCCAAGUUAAGAAAGUCAGCUGCUAAGAAGACAGGGGUGUGUUUUCCGAGCACCAGAUGCCUGCCUUUCGAGUCUUCCCUCCUAUCGGACGUCGGGAUUGUCACCUGGGAGCACGCAGGGUGUGUUUGUAGGUCUCAGCGCUUGGCUUGGGAGGCGGAGAAGCUAGACAAAGCAGCGUGAGGAGUUUUUGAAUGUGUACCUUGAAUCCAGCGUGGCUGGAGAGGCCACUCUAGGGCCAGGAGCCCAGCCCCCACGUCCUCAGAAUUUUGCUGCUUGACUCAUUGCCUCUGUGGCAUCUCGAGAUGCCUUUAGAAGCCGUGUGUCAGUGGCCUGGCAUUCCCUCCAAUGAUGUCUAAGAACCAAGCGUGGAAGUGAGAACACGAGAGAGCUCACCCUGCUUCUGGGGGGAGCUAGACUCUAGAGAGUCUCUUGAACUGCAAGGAGAUCCAACCAGUCCAUCCUAAAGGAAAUCUGCCCUGAGUAUACAUUGGAAGGACGGAUGCUGAAGCUGAAGCUCCAACCCUUUGGCCACCUGAUGCGGAGAGCUGACUCAUUGGAAAAGACCCUGAUGCUGGGAGGGAUUGGGGGCAGGAGGAGAAGGGGACGACAGAAGAUGAGAUAGUUGCAUGGCAUCACCGCCUCGAUGGACAUGAGUUUGAGUAAACUCCGGGAGUUGGUGACGGACAGGGAGGCCUGGCGUGCUGCGGUUCAUGGGGUCGCAGAGUCGGACACGACUGAGCAACUGGACUGAAUUGAACUGAGUGUGGUUUACCGAUUGCCUGGGGCCUGAGUAGCCACAAUGUUCAACUGGGCCAGUGUGUCUUCAAGAGUGGGUAUGUUAGGUCACCUGGGGGUGUUUGCCACAAAGGCAGACACCCGGGAUGUCAGCCUUGAAGCUGUGGUCCUUGGGGUUGGGCAGAUUUCCGCGCAAGGUCCCUCCGCCAAGGAACCCUGGCCGACAAGUAACAGAUUGCGGUGACAAUCCUUUACGACCACGCUUUCCAACUUAACACACGCUGCGAAGGCCAAUGCCAGGCAAGUGACUUCAUGAUCUUUUGAGCAAGGGACAGCCUGAAUUUCGUGAAGUGUACAUAUUUGGCCCACAACAGAUCCUCACUUCUUUCUUUGGAUGUUUUGCAAAUUAGUCGAGAAAUAUACGGCAGACUACAAAAAUAAGGAAACUGAUUUAAAGAAAAAAAAGAAAAGUACACUGCAUGUUUUCUCUGUACAGACACUAAUGCUGUGAAAAAGGAAUUCAGCAACUGAGAAAAGCGAAAGCAUGUGAAAAGAGCUGACAACCACCUAGCGCUGUCCCCUCCUGGAGCUGACAACCACCGUUCAGCUACGUCCCGUCUCUGUAGGUUGAUCCAUCCUGGACACCUCACAGAAACGGCAUCAAACGACAGUCAGCCUUUGGUGUCCCAGCACAACACGGUUGGAUGGCAUCACUGACUCAAUGGACACGAGUUUGGGUAAGCCCCGGGAGUUGGUGAUGGACAGGGGGGCCUGGCGUGCUGCGGUCCAUGGGGUCGCAAAGAGUCGGACAGGACUGAGCGACUGAACUGAACUGAACUGAACUGAUAACGCAUCUGAGCUGCUACCGCGUUGCAGACCCACCAGUACCUCUUUUUCCGGCUGACUCAGAUUCUGCUGUGUGGACAGAUCACAUUCUGUGUAUCCAACAUCUGUUGAUGGACAUCCUGGGUGUUUCCACUUUUUGACUUCUGUGAAUAAUGCUGCCGUGAAAACUCACGGAGGAGCUCGUGUGCACAUGUCUUCUUUCCUCCGGGUAUUCAGAUACGCUCGGUCACGCAGUAACAUAGACGCCGUUGAUACAAAGAACAGAAAACUCACUAUGUGAGUGUUCUGCGCAGAUGCAAGGAUGGCCCUGGCAUGAGCUCUCCACUGCAGAGCAGGAGCUGGGGGCUGGGGCUUUGUGAAAUGCAAAGCUCCAUUUCUUUCUCUCAUCUCUUCUUUUUACAGUCCACGUCCAAGUGGGCCAAAACGCAACUCAGGGACACGAUCUGCUCACAAAGUCUGUGUGACGGGCACCAAACAGGGACUGAUUCCAGUUCAUCAUCCUAGUGUUUGGAGAAGGAAACAGCAACCCACUGCAGUAUUCUUGCCAUGGAGAAUCCCAUGGACAGAGGGGCCUGGCAGGCUACAGUCCAUUGGGUUGCAAAGAGUUGGACAUGACUGAGCGCGUGAGCUUAGUCAUCUAAGUAAUGUGGAGAAAGAAAUGGCAACCCACUUCUUGCCUUCUUGCCUGGAGAAUCCCAUGGACAGAGGGGCCUGUUGGGCUACAUUCCAUGGGGUCGCAAAGAGCUGGACUCGACUGAACAACUAAGCACAGUCUGAUGUUUGUCAUUAACCGGGACACACACACACACACAUACACACACACAUACACACACACAAACACACACAGACGUCUUUUUGCCGUGGAGCCUCCCUCUCCUACCGCAUAAUCUGGGGCCUUCAAAGUGAUUCAGUUUAUAGGGAAGCAGUCAUUUGCACCAUGCCCCUAAAACGUGCACCUGUCUAUGAGCGCCAAAAGGGUGUAUCUGACAGAAUACAACAGAGGGAAAAUUUUCACUCCUCGCCACGAAGACUUCAGGUUUGCCGGAUGUCCCAGGGAACACGACAGGUGGUGCUUUGGGACUUUCGCAUCCUGGAUCCUGCCAAGACCGGGGUAUUCGGGUAUCUCUGGUUCUCUCCACCUCUUCUGAGGUCUCCAAGGAUAGGAAGUUGCUCUCGGCUUGGAACAGCGGCCCACCUCUUUUUCUAACACUGACCGGGCUGGCUGGUUAAGUUGCUGAGUUGUGUCCGAUUCCUGAGACCUCAUGACUGUAGCCCACCAGGCUCCUCUGUCCAUGGGAUUUCCCAGAGGAGAAAGCUGGACUGGGUUGCCACCUCAUUCUUCAGGGGAUCUUCCUCAUUGUUAGGGGAAGCACACUCACUGAAACUGCCCACCCUCACCAGGCAACAUAGUAACCAUUUGUGCCAGCUUUGACAGUGGAAUGCAAGAGGGCUUCACCGGUGGCUCAGCUGGUAAAGAAUCCGACUGCAAUGUGAGAAACCUGGGUUCGAUCCCUGGGUUGGGAAGAGCCCCUGGAGAAGGGAAACGCUACCCACUCCAGUAUCCUGGCCUGGAGAAUUCCAUGGACUAAAUAGUCCAUGGGGUUGCAAAGAGUCAGACUCGACUGAGUGACUUUCACUUUAUGACAGAAGGUCCCAGUAAGGAAUGCAGAGCUAAUAAGCCACCACCAAGCAGAAGAGUUUGGGAAAGUUCGGAAGGAGACACUACAUGUCCGACCACUCCCCUGGAUCGUUCUUGCUGGUGUCCCCCUUGGCUGAUCAAUGCGUGCACCCCCAGGAAGGGCCCUGAGUUAGAGCGAUUGCCCAGAGACAGCCCGGAGGCUAAUUCCAUCACCAUAAAACCCAAGACUGUGAGCCAGGUGGCAAAGCAGGCCUCCUGGGUGCCCUUACCUGGUUGCUUUCCCCGCCGGGAGCCCCUUUAAAAUCUUUCUUUGUCA